AGAGUUUGAUCAUGGCUCAGAGCGAACGCUGGCGGCAGGCCUAAUACAUGCAAGUCGAGCGCACCUUCGGGUGAGCGGCGGACGGGUGAGUAACGCGUGGGGAAUGUGCCCUUUGGUACGGAACAACUGAGGGGAAACUUCAGCUAAUACCGUAUGUGCCCUUCGGGGGGAAAGAUUUAUCGCCAUUGGAGCAGCCCGCGUUGGAUUAGGUAGUUGGUGAGGUAAAGGCUCACCAAGCCUACGAUCCAUAGCUGGUCUGAGAGGAUGAUCAGCCACACUGGGACUGAGACACGGCCCAGACUCCUACGGGAGGCAGCAGUAGGGAAUCUUGCGCAAUGGGCGAAAGCCUGACGCAGCCAUGCCGCGUGAAUGAUGAAGGUCUUAGGAUUGUAAAAUUCUUUCACCGGGGAAGAUAAUGACGGUACCCGGAGAAGAAGCCCCGGCUAACUUCGUGCCAGCAGCCGCGGUAAUACGAAGGGGGCUAGCGUUGCUCGGAAUUACUGGGCGUAAAGGGCGCGUAGGCGGAUAUUUAAGUCGGGGGUGAAAGCCCAGGGCUCAACCCUGGAAUAGCCUUCGAUACUGGAUAUCUUGAGUUCGGGAGAGGUGAGUGGAACUCCGAGUGUAGAGGUGAAAUUCGUAGAUAUUCGGAAGAACACCAGUGGCGAAGGCGACUCACUGGCCCGAUACUGACGCUGAGGCGCGAAAGCGUGGGGAGCAAACAGGAUUAGAUACCCUAGUAGUCC
rnacentral:rRNA from 1 species